AACGGCUCUCGGCAACGGAUAUCUCGGCUCUCGCAUCGAUGAAGAACGUAGCGAAAUGCGAUACUUGGUGUGAAUUGCAGAAUCCCGCGAACCAUCGAGUCUUUGAACGCAAGUUGCGCCCGAAGCCUUCUGGCCGAGGGCACGUCUGCCUGGGUGUCACUC
rnacentral:rRNA from 1 species